CAGGAGUUUGGGACCAGCCCGGCCAACAUGGGAAAACCCCAUUUCUACUAAUAAUACAAAAAUUAGCCAGGUGUGGUGGCACAUGCCUGUAGUCCCAGCUACUCAGACGGCUGAGGCACGAGAAUCGCUUGACCUGGGAGGUGGAGGUUGUGGUGAGUCGAGAUCGCACCACUGCACUCCAGCCUGGGUGACAGAGUGAAACUGUGUCUCCAAAAAAAAAAAAAAAAAUUCAUUAAAAAAUGACCCAGGUCAAGGUCAAGGUAACUUAUUGCAGCAUGACUUGUAAUAGCAAGAUUAGAAACAAUCCAGUAUUCAUCAAUAUGAAACUAGUUAAAUAAAUCAUGAUGCAUCCAUGUAAUUGAAUAUUAUGCAGCUUUAGAAAGAAACACAUAGAGGGGGCCGGGCGAGGUGGCUCAUACCUGUAAUCCCAGCACUUUGGGAGGCCGAGGUGGGUGAAUCACGAGGUCAGAAGAUGGAGACCAGCCUGGCCAACAUGAUGAAAUCCCGUCUCUACUAAAAGUACAAAAAAUUAGCUGGGCGUGGUGGUGGUCACCGUAAUCCCAGCUACUCAGGAGGCUGAGGCAGGAGAAUCGCUUGAACCCAGGAGGCGGAGGUUGCAGUGAGCAGAGAUCGCAGCACUGCACUCCAGCCGGGGCGACAGAGUGAGACUCUGUCUCAAAAAAAAAAAAAAAAAAAAAAAAGGAAGAAAGAAAUACAUAGAGAGUGAAGAUGUACCACAUAGUAUAUUGAUAAACAGUACAAACCUCCAAGACAUUUUUAAUGAAAGACACAAGAUGGAGAACCAUAUGCACUGUUUGCUACCUUUUGUGUGAAAAAUGAGAAAAAUAGAGUAUAUAUUUGCUUAUAUAUAUAAAUGAGUAUAUAUAGAUAGUAUAUAUUAUAGUAUAUGUAAUACAAUAGUAUUUGUAUAUAGAGAGUAUAUAUUUGCUUAUACAUAUGUUUCUGGGGAAAAGUGAGGAGAUUUAGUGAAUGGAAGAUAGAGUGGGGAGGUUAACUUUUUACUUUUUAUAUUUUUUAAAUAUUCAAAUCAUGAGGAUUAAAUAUGAAAUACAUAAAAAGUGCUUAUUAAAAAAUCAAACAAUACAGAAAUAUGUAAG
rnacentral:lncRNA from 10 species